rnacentral:lncRNA from 1 species
AUAUAGAUUAGAUAUUCUACUUUUCAUGGAACUCAAAUUUUGUAUCACAUACAACAAAUCCUACGGUUUCAUCAUCUAGGAUUUUGCAGAAAAGUAAGUUCUUCCUUUCACUUUCUCCUUCAUGAGAUUAAAUCACAUGGCACCCCUACACGCCAUAAGAGCAUCCUAUUGAAUAGAAAAAGAGAAUUUUUAAAUCUUUAUUGCUCC